rnacentral:lncRNA from 1 species
GGGUGACAGACCCUCCCAGCAGUGACAAGUGCCACUGGCAGCCGUGACCCUGCUGUGCCUCUCCCCGUGGGACACCUGUGGUGGGAAUGGUUCUUCCAAACUUCCUCAUAUUGGGAAAAGCACUGUUGUGGAAAAGGUCACAUCUAAUCACUCCAAAGUACAGCAGGGACAGAAUCAUUUAACUGGAAAAGCUGGGAACAAUAGGAACAAGUCAUUUUCCAGUCUGUCCUGGGUAAAGCAGCACAAUUAACUGCUUUACUUAACAUGCAAGUUUAUAAGUGAUCUCCAUGACACCCCUGACACGAAGAAAAUAAUGGGGUUAAACUGGCUCUCAUUACAAGCUGAUCUUUGUGCAGACUUUGGUUGGUAGAACUGGCAGAAGACGUGUAUUGCAGAAUUAAAAUUAAAAGUUAUGAGAACCAUCGCUACAUAAUGGUGAGAUCAGACGAGAAUGGGAGAAUCCACACAAGUCUUUAAUCUCCAUCAAGACAAGACAUUGUUUCUGCUUGGUUCUGCAGUUUAAAAUAAAUCCUUAAUGACACUGUCAUCGUCUCGUUUUGUGGUCUUCAUUUCCUCCUGAUUAUAAAUAAGAAUCAGGUUUCCCUUUAGCAGGACUGGGAGGCAGGGGAGUUCAAACUCUUCUGCUCACAGGGAGCAAGAGCUGCUGCUCUCACUGCAGUGUCAGAUCUUUG